GUUGUUUUAUUUCUUUCACCUCAAACGUAACAGCAAAAUAUUUUCAGUUUUGGCCAGUACCAGACCCUCCGCGGCGUUUUUAAUCCAUGGUUUUCUUCUGACCCUGACCCUAAACCCCGCGUCCUCGGAGAUGGAGGAUGAUCUGGAGAAUUUCCUCAGGGAGAGAAAGGCGCGACUGGCAAAAGACAAGGCCAGUUUACAACAGUUUGACCCGCCGUAUAUGGAGAUCAAGUCCAGACCCCAAAGAUCCAACGUGACCACAGUGAAAGAAAACAUCCCUCCAGAAACACAAGCACAAGAGGAUGAGUCGAACUUGGGGCUGCCUCUGGGCCUGGAGUAUGAGAAGAAGAAACAAAAACUACAACGAGAAUGCCGCAAGGAGUACAGGCAGUACAUCACACAGAAAGCUCAGAGAGACUAUGGGGACCCUGAGCCGCUGUCCCUCUGCAACGGCACAAGGCUUUUUAAGCCUUCCCUCGUCCCCAGUGUCCGUCCGCCUUCUCGGAGAGACGCUGCCACGCUCACAGAGGACACCAGGGGGCAGGAGAGGGCGCAGGACCGAGCAGAGAGCUGCGUCGAUCUGGAGACGGAAACAAAAAACAACGAAGGACAGAAAUGCAACGCUGCGGAGAGUGGGAACAAUAAAACUGACUGGGAGAAGAGAGACAUCCGGUUUGGACGACGAUCUCAAGCAGCGACGCGGAGCGGAGACGAGGAGUUUGCGACCGGCCUCAUGAUCGGAGCCGCGAACACGGAGGAGAUUUUACAGAAGAAGAAGGAACGCUACAGGAAAGAGCUUCAGGAGCAGAUCGCCGAGCAACUCAGGAACAAGAAAAGAGAGAGAGAACUGGAGCUGAAAGUUGCUGCCACCGGAGCAAAUGAUCCAGAGAAACUGCCGGACCGGAUCAGGCAGUUUGGUCUCCAGCGACGGAGAGAGGAGAGGAGAGAAGCGGCCGUGGAGACAGACUUUCCUCUUGUUCCCGUGAAUAUGAAGACCGUGGCGGAUAAGGAGACUCCAGCUCCAGAGCUCCCCCCUGUGGCCUUCCAGAGCCCUAUCCUGGAUUACGGCUCGGCUCUGGGGCUGUACUCGGUGAACCAGCCGAACGGACCGGUGUACCCCAGAACGAUGGACACCCCCAGGAUUUCUCUGUAUCCUCCUCACCCUUCGUCCACUCUGGGAGACGUCUACAGAAGUCCUCCUUAUGAAGCUCCUCCUUCUCUUCAUCAUCAUCACUACUACAGCAGGAACCCUCCGGAACCACAGACCCCGUUCUAUAACCACCUGUCCGUCCCCGGUGGGGUUCACGUGCCUUACUGGAACGUGCCUCCUGGGGGCGCCGUCUCCACUCACUAUGGAAACCACAGUCCUCACAGCCAGCACAGCGAGAGCAGCUUCCCAGACCCUCCACCACAUCCUCCUCCUGAAGUGACCACCGCGGACUCUCGCGUGGCUCCGUUUCCGUCAGACAAACCCAGGUCAGCCCGAGAGAGAAUCCUGAACUACAGAGACGCGCUCAAACAGCAGAUCCAGGAGCGGCAGGAACAGAGACGUGUGGAGCGAGAGGAGAGAGAGAGGCACGAGGCUCAGCUGGAGGAAGAUCUGAGGAGACACGAGCCCUGGGGCCGAGGAGGAGGAGGGGCCCCGCUCAGGGACAGCACAGGGAAUCUUAUAGCUGACCUGAAGCGGAUGCACAGGCAGAACGAGGAGGCGUACAGUCGCCCGGAGCAGAGGAGAGCCGCUCUGAUGAGGCCCGAGUCCGACCCAAACGAGAGGGUCAAUGGUACAGUCUCUGUGUGCAGUGAACCAGACACUAGUGACAGAAUCAACGGUUUCACUCAUGUCCAGACUCCUCAGUUCGCUCGAGGUUCUGUGUUUUCAGCUCCUCCUUCACAGCAGCAGCUUCAGGAGCAGGACAAGUACAAGGCUUAUCUCAAACUACAGAUCGAUGAGAAGAUGCGUAAGAAGGCGGAGGAGAGGGAGCGAAUGCGCUUGGAGGAGGAGAAGGAGGAGAAGAGGCUGGCUGAACAGAGAGAGAGAAUACAGAAGGAGUUUGAAGAGGAGCAGGAGAGGAAGAGACGCAAAGAACAAGAGCAAAAAGCCAAAAAUGAAGAGUUGAUCCGGCUGGCGGAGGAGAGGAAAAGAGAAGCAGAAAGAAAGAAGAAAGAAGAGGAGGAGAGAGAGAGUGAAGCCCUGAGGAGACGACAGGAGAGAGAGAGACAGGUCCAUGUCACAGAGGUUUGCAGAGCGCCGUCUCCUCCGAUUCCGACUCUUCAGAAGAAACUGGGUCUGUCUGUGUUCAGUCCCAGACCUCCCACAGUGGAGAGUCAGCAGUCCCUCCCCCCUCUCUCUGAGAGGUCUCUGUCUGGGCUCCAGUCGCCCCCUGUUCCCGCCCGGAGGAACCAGCUCCGAGCAGCAGGAAAGUACCGCGACGUGUUCAGUGAGCUGUCUGCUCUCAGGAGGCAGCUCCGGACCGAACAGAAGAGACUGGAGGGACGUCUGCAACAGGACUGGGACCUGGAUCUGGAGUCUCCGCUUAGCGACAGACAGAGAGAGCGCCCCCAGGUGGACGUGUUUGACAUGGCACGGCUCAAACUCCAGGCUCCAGUCAGAAGACCGAGCUCUAGAAGCACAGAGCCCAAGAACCUGCCACAGAUACACGACUCCCUACAGCUCAAGUACAAUGAUGUAGAGUCCAGGUUGGGUUCUGGUCAAGUCCCUAAACACGUCGACAGAGACCCGUUCAACAGCCAGAGGUCCACAGUACAGGGAGACUAUUUCGACUUUUCUCCAACUCAUCACAAUGAUUACGCGCGGAGUGCUCUGGGAGGGCCCUCGAGAUGCUCACUGCUGGAAUCCGACAGCACUUUUAUCGAGCCUCUCGGUGAAGCCUUCUCUGCUCUUCCCUCUCCGGAGCAGAAGAGGGCGCCGAUGACCGCGCGAGAGAGGAGGAGACUCGCCGAAGCACAGCGGCAGGUCAGAGACUGCAGUUUGUUCAGCUCCUGAAGCAGACCCGCCUCCUCACACCGGCGGCAGAGGAAACCCCCGGAACAGGGGAGGAGCCGGUCGCCACAGAGCUGCCGCAGGUCACCGUGGUAACACAGAUGUUGUAGAUUCCGACGACUCUCCUCCUCCUCCUGAUCCUGAUCCCGUUCAGAAAAACACCUGGAGACGCAUGGGGACCUCGGACACAAUAGACGGACCAAUCAGGAGAGAGAGCGCCUGAUCACAUGAUACACGUCGGCCUCUCGACCGGCCAAUCGGGGCAGAGCCUUCGGUCACGUGACACCGCACCACCAGUUCAUGUUUCCUCAGGUCCAAACUCCCUGAUCGCGCAGUUAUUUAUUUUUACAAAAACACACGCGUGGAAGAUCAUUUGUUCCAUUAGAUUCUGAAUUUUAAAUACACUUACAUUUUUUU